rnacentral:rRNA from 1 species
AGCAGCCGCGGUAAUUCCAGCUCCAAUAGCGUAUAUUAAAGUUGUUGCAGUUAAAAAGCUCGUAGUUGAAUUUCGGGAUCAAUUUAUCGGUCGUGCCAAUGGUAUGAACUGGUACAAUUGGUUUCUCCCUUCUGACGAAGCAUGAUGUCAUUAAUUUGGUGUCGUGGGGGAUCAGGACUGUUACUUUGAAAAAUUAGAGUGUUUAAAGCAAGCAUUAGCUUGAAUACAUUAGCAUGGAAUAAUGAAAUAGGACGUUUUGAUCCUAUUUCGUUGGUUUCUAGGAUCGACGUAAUGAUUAAUAGGGAUAGUUGGGGGCA